GCGGUCGUGGCGAAAUGGCAUACGCUCGGGCUUUAGAUGCCCGCGGGAGUAAUCCCAUGUGGGUUCGAAUCCCACCGACCGCA
rnacentral:tRNA from 2 species